GCUGGGCGCAGUGGCUCAUGCCUGUAAUCCAAGCUACUUGGGCAGCUGUGAUGGGAGGAUCACUUGAGCCCAGGAGUUUGAGGCUGUGGUGGGCUGUGAUUGCACAUGUAAAUAGCCACUGUACUCCAGCCUGGGCAACAUAGCAAGACCCCAUCACAA
rnacentral:SRP_RNA from 1 species